UUAUGACAGUGGAAGCUAAACCAAAUAUUUUUCAGUCACACUAAGACAAAACUAAGUUUUAGGGCUUAAUAAUCCUCCCUUAAUUCCAGUUAGAGGAACAAACCAAGAUACUGAGAGAGUAACGCUAGUCAUCACGCAAACAGUGACCAGAGCCAGGCCGUACAUAAGGAAAGCAGCAUGGAAACCAGAACACAUAUGAAGGAUGAUCCCACUGGAGAAAAUAAGGAUUAGGAACUAUAUGUGAAUGCCAACCAUCCAGUGCAUGAAUGGCUAUGAAAACUUUAAAGGAAAGAGAAAGAAUCACAAGGAACAUAUCGAAUAACUAUUAAAGCUGCAAAACAUAUUUCCUCCAAAUUUUUAAAACCACUAAAUCACACGUUAUGUACUCGUGCAAAUAAAAUCUUGAAUCUUAAGAAAACCGGCUCUCU